UCCAGGCUUUGCCCAGGAUGAGAACUCCUUGGUGGCUCUGUUCCAUGGAUCUUGCUCACGUGGGGACCCAAAUUCCACGAGCUGUGUUCCUGCUGCGUGAGCUGAGCCGCGAUGUCUGUGCGUGCCCUGGGCUGGUGUUAAACAGCUCUGCAGCCUCCUCGGCCAGCAGGUUCUGCUGGCCCUUUCUUGCACUCUGCUCCCCUGUCCCUGCAGCUGAGCUGACUUCCUGGGGAGCUGCACAGAGCUUUCUCCAGGUGCCCACAUGAGGAGAUUCAUUCACUUUGCAGUUGGAGCGAGUUUUCUCUCGAGGACCAUCAUUUUAUCCAUGUUUGGGAAAUAUCCAUCACUGCUGGGGGAAAGGGACUUCUCCUCCUGAGUGAAGACUGUGGGAUCUGACUUGAAGCAAGACAAGAGAAGCAAAGCCUCUGUGUGAACGUGGCAGGUAACAUCUACAGACUCUGCUUUACAGGGAAGAAAUGCAAAUCAGUGAGGUAUAAAGUGCUUAAUAUUCAGUUAGCUCUCAGAAUUUUAUCGGUUUCCUGUCUGUUUUUAAACAGAAUAGAAAAAAAGUCAUGUACAAAGCAAGGGGAAGAAUUCAGGCUGGUUUCAACUCAGGAUCAAACCCUUUAUAACGCUGGACUGAGGUGAGCUGGAACCAAUCCCUGCUCUGGCGAGCAGAGUGGGGCAGGGAUGAAGCUGGAAAGGACUGAGAUGCACAUGAUGCUUUUCCCAAGUUGUGUUACAGUUUGGGGGAGCUUUCAGAUUUGUGCCUUUAAACUGAAAGACUGAGAAGACAAAUCAAUUAUCCGAGAAAAGAAUGUGGAUAUUGCUGGAGGGAGGGAAGGCUCAGGCUCAGGGCAGCUGUGGAGUUUCCUUGGGGUUCCUUGAGCUGUGCAGGAGCAGCCUGUGGCUCCAGUUUGGUGCUCCCAUCUUUAAACCAUCAGUUAACAAAUGCAUUUCCUCCCUAGGGGGGUCUGUUUCCUCAUCCUACUGCUUUUCCAGAAUCCACAGUGUAUGUUCCUGCAGGAAUGCUCAGCCCUCGUCCUGCCCAGGCGGGCGCAUCCAGCCCAGGGUGUUCUCUGGCUCCAGUUUAAAUCCUGCAAUCCCUGUCAGCCGUGGGCUCGCUCACUCUGAGCCCUCUCUCUUGCCUGGCUCAUUUUGGGAACGCAACGCUGAGCAUCCCUGGAUCGGGAUGCCCAAGGCAAAGGGUUUCCAUCCCUGAAUUCACAUUGUUCAUGGCUCUGCCCAGGCCAGAGGGGAGAAUAGCUGAGCUGUUUACAAUAUUGUUUCAUAGACUGCUCAAAAGCAGCGCCUGUUUUCCAGAAGUGCAAUGAAACAUUUAUGAGUACGGGACGUGGUGCAGCUCCGGAGCUCUGCAGGGGACAAGGGACAGUCGGGGUGUUUGAUGUGCACAUCCCAGCUUAUGUGGGCUGUUGGCAAAGGAAUGAGCAGGACACAUUAUCUCAUUUUCACUCCCCUCUUCCAAGGUGCUGAUCCCUCAGGUACCCUGGUUUGAGGGUGAGCAGAGCUCAUAUCCCAAGCCCAGGGCAUGUGAGGUGCUGCGCUGCUCUGCUCUCCAGCUUUGCCUGGCUCUCUCUGUUUCUGUAUGCUGCAUAAAUCCUGGUAUAAAUCUAUGGAGCUGCAAAAGUCCUGUGCCUUCCCUGGAGUCCCUCAGGACAAGAUGAAACAGCCUCAAGUUGCACCAGGGAAGGUUUAGAUUGGAUAUUAGGAAAUUUUUUUUCACAGAAAGGUUUGUCAAGCAUUGGAACAGACUGCCUGGGGCAGUGGUGGAGUCAUCAUCUCUGGAAAUGUUCAAAAAAUAUGUGGAUGUGGCACUCAAGGACAGGGUUUGGUGGUGAACAUGAUGGUGCUGAUAGACUGAUGGUUGAACCUGAUCUUGGAGGUCUUUUCCAGCCUUAAGAACUCCCCAGUUCUCUGCGAUUUUAGGAUUUACGUCAGUGAAGAAAUAGACAAAGCAAAGCUGGAUUCUAGGAUUCUAAACCUUUGCUAAUCCAUGUUAACCAUAUUAAAUCUGGACAUUUAUUAGAAAGAAGCAGGUUCUUCCCUCUGUGCAGAAGAGAGGUCAUUUAUCCAUCCUUGUAUAGCUCCCUUUUGGUUAUUUCCAGUGCUCCAGCCUUUUUCUCGUGCUGAAGUUACAGCAAACCCUUCUGAAUAAUAACCUGUUCUUUUCCCAGCACAGGAUCACUCCAAAACUCCUUCAGAUUGUUAAAUAUAUGUAUUUUAGACAGAUAGACACUCUAACCAGAAUUCUACCCUGGCUGUAGCUAAAUGUGGGGAUGAAUUUGAGUUUUACUGUGAUAUCUGUGAUUGUUUCCCUGUAUCUCUGGCAUGAGGGAUCCCAUUGUACUUACCAAGUACAUUGUGCAUCCAAGAUGUCUCAGCUUUUAUGUGAUUUUGUCUACAUUUCUCAGGAUUUAAUAUUUGAGGUUCCUUCUAGGGAUGUAUCAAAGGAAAAGCUGGAUUUGAACUCCAUUCAGAAAGUUUUCACAUAUCCAGAAUUAGUGCUUAUAAAAGUGAUUUGGUUCUGUGGAAGAUGUUUUAUGAAUCUCCUGGAAAAUGGGGGGUUUUGUCCCACUGAGCAGAGCCUGGGCUGGGAGUGGGACCUGAGCAGGGCUGUGGUUUAACAUCCUCCCCACUCACCCAGGGACAUCCAGCCUAAACCCUUCCUUCCUGCCCAAAGUGGAAUUAUCAUUAACUCGUAAUUAGUUUUCAAGAACAGUUUUUUGGUUGUUUUUUUUUUUUUUUUGGUAGGCUGUGGAGUUCUUCCAAGAAUUUUUCAAUUUUUACAAAUGAAAAUAUAAGCUCAACCAGAUGCCAGUUAAAAUGCAGUUCCUUUCUACCAGCCAGCCCAGGCACCACAGGCUCAGCAUCACGACCUUUAAACAGCUUUUCUAGAACAAGCUGGGAGAACACUUUCUAAAAAGCCACAAUUGCAGCUGCUCUCAUUACUCAUAACAUCCCUGAUGGAGAGGAACUUAAAUAUAAUUCUUAAGGAACUUAAGCUUCAACAGCCCCCAGUAGACUUAGUUUAUGUGCAGAGCAGGCUUCCCUCGUGGAAUUACAGACUCGGGAUGGUGAUUAUAGUGUUGAUGAUAAUGUACAUUUUCUAAAUCAUUACUUCUGUAAGAAUAAAAUAAAAUAAAAUAAAAGGAGUGAAGUCUUU
rnacentral:lncRNA from 1 species